ensembl:lncRNA
AAUUUGGAAUAAUGAAGAUACAGAUAUAUGUUUUGACAUAACAAAAAUAAUACUAGAUGAAACACAGGAUUUAUCAAAUCUAGACUUAACUAAAUGUAACAUAACUAACUUAGAAAUAUGCUCACGAUAUAAUACAAUUUUUUUGAAUUUUUUUUUAUUAAGCUUAUUAAGUUCAAAUGAUUUAUGCUUCAAAUUAAUAAAACAUAAAAAAAUUUUAUUUUUAUAUAAACAAGUGAAAAGAUUAAAUUGGCAUAGUAUUAAUUUUGCUUUUAUUAAAAUAAUUUAUAAAGGAGUAAAGUAUGCAUAUAUAUAUAAUUUGGAUAUAAAAAAUGAAAUAAAAGAUAUGUUAAAUAUUCUUUUUUUUUUUUUAUUUAUGUUUUAUAUUAAAUUACCAAAUAAUGUACAAAUGAAUUCCUCAAAAUAUUUUAUACCAGAACAAUAUAUGUUACUAAUUAAUGAUGAUGAUAGUGUAAUAAAAAAUUUGUCAAAAAUAUUUGUUUUUUUAUUUAAUAAAAAAUAUCAAAACGAACAAGGAAAGGAAAAGGACAAUUUGGAAAAAAAUAAAGAAAAGGAAAUAAAAUUAGUAAAAGCAUUUUUUUCUUAUCUUAAUGAAAAUAAUUUUAGUAUAAACAAUUCGCACAACAUUGGAAUGGGUGAAGUGGGUGAAAGUGCAAUGGUGGAGAAGAGAGAUAUUGCAGAACACUAUUCCAUAUUAGAAAAAAAUAAUUUGUUUCGCCUUUUUGAUAAUUUAGAUAUACAUGGUUUUUUAAAUAUUAUAACAUCUUUAUUUAUUCCACAUAUACAUCCUUCCAAUAUGGGAAAACAUGUAGGAAACAUUAAUUUGUUUAUAAACUCUUUUUUGUAUUGUUUUAUUAGGAAGUUAAAAAGGGAAGACAUUUAUUUACGAAGGUUACAUACAAACUCAACUAAUAACAAAUAUAACGAUAUAAAUGAUAAAAAUAGUGAUGUUUUUUCAUAUAUAAACAACUAUUUUAUUUUCAAAGAAGAUAAACAGUUCGUAGUAAAUAAAUUUACUAAAUUAGCUGUACAGGGAAUGUAUCCUAAAAACAAUAAAGGAACUAGUUUGUUUGAAAAUAUUUUAAAACAUAUAUGUAUACUUGAUAUAAAUAGUUUGGAUAUAUUUACCAAAAAAAUAAUUGAAUGUUUGGUAAAUGUAAACAUAUCAACACAAAUUUGUAAUGGUUUGUUAUCUUUAUGUUUAUUAUUACCAUUGUUAAUUAAAUAUAAAUCUGUUUAUUUAAAAGAUAUUUUAAGUGUAAUAGUAGUAGGUAUAGAUAUAAGUGAUAUAUAUAAAAGUUUUACAAUAUUUUCUUUUUUAAGUAUAUUAUUUUCUUACAUACCAAUUGUGCAAAUUGAUUCGAGUUGUAUCACAAAUGAAGAUUAUAAAUUACUUAUUGAAGAAUAUAAAAAAAUUGAAAAAUUUGAAAAAGAUUAUGGUGUGGUUGUAGAAGUAGGGAUGUUGAACUCGAAUUGUUUUGUAAAAUCGACAGAAAAGAGUAGUAGUAAUAGUAGUAGUAGUAGUAGUAGUAGUAGUAACAAUAAUGGUGUUGAUGGUGGUGGUGGAAAGAUUGUGGAAAAUGACUUAUACAAUAUUGUCACACAUUCUAGAGAACAUAUAACAAGUGAUGAACAAAUAAAAUGUUUAAUUAAAGAAAGAGAAGAGUUACUUAAUUAUUUAUGCUAUUGGGUUCAUGAUUUUUUUGAUAAAAUUUUAUAUUUUAUAAAGUUUACUAAAAAUGAGAAAAAUAAAGAUAAUAAAAAAAAAACAAAAUGGUGAAAAAAAAGAAAAUAAAUUAGAAAAUGAUGUAUAUACA